CUGUACUUAGCCCGAAAUAGACAAAACACAACUAUACCAUCCCCUAAAACAAAACAUUUAUCUUCAUAAAAGUAUAGGAGAUAGAAAUUAUAUAUUGGCGCUAUAGAGAAAGUACCGUAAGGGAACAAUGAAAGACUAUACUAAAAGCAACAAACAGCAAAGAUUACCCCUUGUACCUUUUGCAUAAUGAUUUAACUAGACUUAGUUUAGCAAAGAGAACUAAAGUUAAACCCCCCGAAACCAGACGAGCUAUUCACGAGCAGCUAAUCAGAGCAAACUCAUCUAUGUGGCAAAAUAGUGAGAAGACUUGCGGAUAGAGGUGACAAGCCUACCGAGCCUGGUGAUAGCUGGUUGUCCAGCAAAAGAAUUUCAGUUCAAAUUUAAACCUGCCAACAAAAUAAUAUAAUUAUUCUGCAGGCUUAAAGCAUAGUCUAAAAGGGGACAGCCCUUUAGACACAGGCUACAACCUUUUCUAGAGAGCAAGCCCCUAAACACACCAUAGUUGGCCUAAAAGCAGCCACCAAUAAAGAAAGCGUUCAAGCUCAACAAACCUAUUACCUCAAUCCCUAAAAUUAUCGCCCACUCCUAGUACUAAAACUGGACUAUUCUAUAAUAAUAUAGAAGCAAUACUGUUAAUAUAAGUAACAAGAAUUUAAUUCUCCUCGCACAAGUGUAUAUCAGUACGGAUAACCACUGAUAGUUAACGUAUAUAAAGUAAGCCAAAUAACGAGCUCUUUAUCUCCCCAUUUCUCGUUAACCCAACACAGGAGUGCUCUAAGGAAAGAUUAAAAGGGAUAAAAGGAACUCGGCAAACACUAAACCCCGCCUGUUUACCAAAAACAUCACCUCUAGCAUGCCUAGUAUUAGAGGCACUGCCUGCCCAGUGACAUACGUUCAACGGCCGCGGUAUCCUGACCGUGCAAAGGUAGCAUAAUCACUUGUUCUCUAAAUAAGGACUUGUAUGAAUGGCCACACGAGGGUUUAACUGUCUCUUAUCCCCAAUCAGUGAAAUUGACCUUCCCGUGAAGAGGCGGGAAUACUAUAAUAAGACGAGAAGACCCUAUGGAGCUUUAAUUAACUAGCCUAAUGAACUAAUACUAACCCCGAAAGGGACAAAAUAACUUCAAAUAGACUAGCAAUUUAGGUUGGGGUGACCUCGGAGCAUAAAACACCCUCCGAGCAAUUAUAAGCUUAGACUAACCAGUCAAAGCCACAUCCACAAUUGAUCCAAAUCUAUUGAUCAACGGAACAAGUUACCCUAGGGAUAACAGCGCAAUCCUAUCCUAGAGUUCCUAUCGACGAUAGGGUUUACGACCUCGAUGUUGGAUCAGGACAUCCUAAUGGUGCAGCAGCUAUUAAAGGUUCGUUUGUUCAACGAUUAAAGUCCUACGUGAUCUGAGUUCAGACCGGAGCAAUCCAGGUCGGUUUCUAUCUAUUUUACGCUUCCCCCAGUACGAAAGGACAAGGGAAGCAAGGCCUCCUUAAAACAUAAGCGCCUUACACUUAACAAAUGAAAUAAUCUUAAUCUGUUACGUGACAAACAAUAAGCCCCUAGACCAGGGCUC
rnacentral:rRNA from 1 species